rnacentral:rRNA from 1 species
AUCUACGGCCAUACCAGCCUGAAUGCGCCCAAUCCAUUUAGUAUAUGAAGUUAGGCAGGGUCUGGCUUCUGCAGUACAUACACCACAGGAACGUUGUGAAUA